CAAUAUAAUAAUUAAAGAACCUUAGUGAGCACGCUCACAUACCCCACGUCCCCACAUUGUCAUUGGAGAAAUUAAAUAAGUAUAAGAAAAAAAAAUUGUAUAAGAAAAAAUACUGAAUAAUAAUUUCCUGUCAAUAUACACAUCUACAUAGUAUGUCCUAAUUAUCUACAAAAUUUCAUGAAAUUCUGUUGUGUGUUUUCAGAGGAGUUGAGAUGACAAACUGUUGCAGAAGUACAUUGAAGCAAAUAAGUUCAAAGGGGCAUAACUCCUAGAAAAAAAUUGAAUCGUAAUUUCCUGUUGAUAUGCACAUCUACGUAGUAUGUCCUUAUUAUCUAUAAAGUUUCAUGAAAUUCUGUUCUGUGGUUUCAGAAGAGUUGAGAUGACAAACUGUUGAAGUAGUACCUUAAAGCAAAUAAGUUCAAAGAGGCGUAACUCCUAGAAAAAAAAUUGAAUCGUGAUUUCCUGUCGAUAUGCACAUCUACAUAGUAUGUCCUUAUUAUCUGAAAAGGUUUCAUGAAAUUCUGUUAGGUAGUUUCAGAGGAGUUGCGAUGACAAACUGUUG
rnacentral:lncRNA from 1 species